AGUGAGUGGUCUGAAGGAUCUGAGGAAGAACGGUUGUCUUCAACAUUGCCCUUAGUGAGCGUGGUGGCAAUGAUGCGCAAGAUGAGGAGUGGCGUCAGCUGGGCGUCAGGUUGGGUGGAGCAAACCCAGUGAGAGACUGAACAACAUCUUUGAAGCAGCACAGGAAGCAAGGCAUGAGUCCAGCACACAGCUGCACAUGCAGGGAAGGAAGGUGAGUCCAUCCAGGGCACGGCAGUCACGCGGGACUUCCAACGUAAGUCAACAUGAGUCCCUUGACUGCCGAAACCACCGCUUACUCCCAGGGGCCAGGGUGAGGCGCGCCACUAUCCCUCAGAGGACACACAAAGCACAUGGACACCAUAACCACCACCACCACACCCACAGCCACCAGGAUCAGCGGGAGAGGCAAGGCAGUGGACGCCGCCUGAGGAAGCGUCACCAGAGUCGCCAGCAGCAGCAGCAGCAGCGUCCUUCUCGCCUGCAGCUCUCCCAACCGGAGUAUCGCGUGACGCUGAGGGAGGACGUGCCCAUCCACACCUCCCUCCUGACGGUGAGUGUGAGGGUGCUGUGUGUGUGUGUGUGUGUGUGUGUGUGUGUAUACAGUCCUGGUCGUAAGUCGAGUGAGGUACCACACUUACUGCCACCGUGUUGGACGUCUUUUUUCUCGUUCUCAAGGCCUCUGAUCUUUUCUGAACCUAUCAAUUGUCAGGUUUUAUAAAGAGACGUGAUGUUGAGGCAAAACACAAAUUACAGUAAAAGAAAAUACUAAAGAUCACUCUACUUCUGACCACGAGUAUAUUAUCUUGUGAUCACACACACACACACACACACACACACACACAGGCCAGCUACUCGAUUUCAACAUCAAUCAGCCGCCUUCCAACAAAAUUAGAUGUUUUCGGAACUCACCAGGUUUACCUUUCACUUGGCUUGAGAGGUGGAGGUAGCCGCACCAGACACCCGUGGAGCCGAGCACACUAGCCUGCCAUUUUAAGUUCUCAUUCUUAUUGGCUUCCCAUGAGACCAAAGGUAAUGCUUUCUCUGGGAAAUUUAGGAGUUAUAGUUAGCUCUGAACUCCGUCUAGGGAAACAAUGCAUAGAAGCCAGAAACAAGGCAAAUAGGGUACUAGGAUUCAUUUUUAGGAGUGUUAAAAGUAGAAGGCCGGAAGUAAUAUUAAAGUUAUACUUGGCGCUGGUCAGACCUCAUCUAGACUACGCUGUACAGUUCUGGUCCCCACAUUACAGGAAAGAUAUAGGUCUAUUAUAAUCAGUACAGAGGAGAAUGACUAAAAGGAUACAAGGGAUGAGGAGUAUUCCUUACGAGGCGAGGUUGAAGCUGUUAAAUUUACAUUCUCUAGAGAGACGUAGGUUAAGAGGGGACCUGAUAGAAGUCUUUAAGUGGUAUAAGGGUUAUAACAAGGGAGAUGUAAGCAAAAUUCUUAGGAUCAGCAACCAGGGUAGAACAAGAAAUAACGGGUUCAAGCUUUAAAAAAUUAGGUUUUAGGUUUAGGAAGGAGAUAGGAAAAAAAUUGGUUCUCAAAUAGAGUGGUAGAUGAGUGGAACGGACUCAGUAGUCAUGUAGUUAGUGCUAGGACACUAGAGAGCUUUAAGAUUAGACAAGUUUAUGGAUGGGGAUAACAGAUGGAAAUAGGUAGGUGUGUUUCAUACAGGGACUGCCACGUGUAAGCCUGGUUGCUUCUUGCAGCUUCCCUUAUUUCUUAUGUUCUUAUGUUCUUGUUCAACCAGCGCGGCCGAGUCAGGUAUUUGUUGUGGUUAGAGAUACAGCAUUACUAUCGCUAGGACACUCGAGUUGCCAUUUUUUUUUUUUUAUCAAAAUUGCCGUUUCCAUAAACUAGGAAGGAGAUAUAUGUAAUUUGGACUUUUGACAUGUUGCUUUUAUGUUUACUGUCGUCUAGAUUAAGACGUUUCCAAUCAAGAGUGUAUUCAUUUGGAAAUCUUAAGAUGACCAAAUAAAUCUAAAUGCCGAUUCACUAGAAAAUCAACUUAUAUACAUUUGUUCAUGAAAAGAGUUUGAUUUUACUUGUGUUACUACUUAGAAGGGAUUACGUAUAUUAAAAAAAUAUAUUAUAUAAGCCCAUUGCAUCUUCAUGUAAAUAGAAUAACACUAUAGGUAUAUCUGAUAUUGCUUGUAUGUGAGAAGAGUUUGUGUCUGUGCUGCCACCUGGUGACAGCCACUAGUUCUGAAAACUCCCCAUUGGUGUGUGUGUGUGUGUGUGUGUGUGUGUGUGUGUGUGAUUACUUAGGUGUGAUUACUUAGUUGUGUCAUGCGGGAAAAGAGCUCUGCUAGUAAUUUACCAUCCCGUCUCGUGUGUGUGUGUGUGUGUGUGUAGUAUAUUUCGUAAUUUUCACAGCAAUGUAAUGUUUACAAAUAACACAUCGAAAAUUCAUAGAAUUAACUUAAGCAUGUGAUAAUGUAGCCACUCUAUAUACAGAACUGUAUUAAAAUUAGUAACAUUUUGUUAUGCUCACGGAUUCUGCUGCGGGUUGUUUGUUGUCAACUCUCACUGUCGUCGACAAGACACAAUAAGCCGUGAAGAAAGAGAGAAUGCACGUAGUUUCUUGGGUUUGUUCCCCAGUGAUACUUUCAGUCCCAGUGAUGGGUUUACUUCUCCCGAACCCAAGUUUGAUGAUGUGGCAGGCCGGUUGAGUAAUGUACUACUGAUCCACGGAAUUUAGAUAGAGGAGGGCGAACGACCACCGUCAUCAUGACUUCAUAAAAAAAAUAAAAUAAAAUAAAUAAAUAAAUAAAUAAAAAUGAAAUAAAUAGAGCGUAGCUUUUUGACAGUCAUUCACCAACACGAAUAGCUUCAACGAUACGUUACGAACGAUAAUAGAAUUAUAUAAAUAACUGAGAGAGAGAGAGAGAGAGAGAGAGAGAGAGAGAGAGAGAGAGAGAGAGAGAGAGAGAUCGUUCAAACUAUUAUCAAAAUAUUAUCGUACCUACUUUUACAUCAUAGCUGUAUUAUUGUUUGCCUAAUGUCUACUGUUCAUGAGUAGAUUCUCGCCUUCAAAUAAGGAUCUAGUUUCUUACCAGUUUGAACGAUCUCUCUCUCUCUCUCUCUCUCUCUCUCUCUCUCUCUCUCUCUCUCUCUCUCUCUCUCUCAGUCAAGUAUCCACCCGCGACUACCCAAUCGUGGCCCCAGUAAGUGCCAAACUGCCAACCAAUAAAAGUAUCCAAUACGUGCACAUUGUACAGGGCUUGGUCGUUUGAUGUAUUUUGUCUCUUUCUGUUUUUUUUUUUUUUUUCUUUCUUUUUAAGUUGCCAAGUAUACUACCUACAUGAAGGAUCCUGUAUGCUGUGUCCCGUAUCAAAUCAACAUUUAUGCACUUUUCUUUUUUUCUUCCUUUUUCAUCAACCAAUUUCAGGGGCCUGUGUCUCCUCUGCUAUUUCGUUCUAGACCUUCAUCAUCGAGGUAGCCUUGAAGCACUGGUAGUGGGGUGCGUGGGACUGUUAUUUUAUUAAGAAAAGAAUUUCAAUUGCUUCACCUAUCCUAACCUAAUACAACUUAUGUAGGUACGUGCGUAAAUUACAUACUUACAGUUAAGGUCCUACUUCAUACAAUCUCCUAAAAAUUGAGUCAGUUGCAUUUUCAAAUUAGUCUUAAUGCCACAUGUAAACCUCCCAACAGAUUGUCAUGUUGUAAGGCACUUUGGUGAUGGAUUCACAUAACCUUCAUGGCGAGGAGUUGAUGGCUCAUGUGAUGUGUUGGCGACUCGUCAUCAUCCUCAUCACCGGUAGACACACCUCCCAGUAUCCCAAGCCUCCUCAUCUUAUAAAAUGCCUUGAUGUUAUAAGUUCCACUACAAUUGUACUUGUAUCCAAUACAUCCAGCCCAUCACAAACUGCAGUCAUCAUUUCUAUAUAAACUACAUUCAAUAUAUACAGCACAUCGGAGUCGUGAUUAGCUGCCGGUGUCACUUGGGACCCUGUGCUAUAGUGGCGCUCCUAAUGGUGCGUUUGAGCUUCGUAGAGCAACCGACCCGUAGGAGAUUAAUCGGAUAUUAACACCAAUAAUGCGAAAUGGAACAAGAAAAGUAACGA